AUGUUUUAGUGUUUGUUGUUGUGUUCGUGGUGUCGCCUGUGUGUUUUUUUCUCGGUUGUAAAUGGUUUUGUCAAAAGCGGUUUUUGUUAGUUCAGAUUGUUUGUCGAAUCGGGUUCUUCGUCUUUCAGUCCGUUAUAUUGUAUUUUUACCAUUAGCAAUAUGAUAUUACUAUUUAUUCAUGUACACAAUUAUAUGAAUAGAUUAAGUAUUGAGGUGUGUUUUAAUAAUUUCUUGUCCUAUCAAUUUUAGAUAGCUGAGACGUGCCAUGAAUGUGCAGACAACAAAUAAAAGAUGCAGACGACAUCUGGGUAAGCGCGCGCAACUGUUUUCUUUUGUAUGUUUGCUUUUUUCGUUUUGUUUUGUAUGGCUUUUUUUCCACUAGAAUGAUGGGGUACUCGGAAAAAAAGUCACAGCAGGAUACAGAGACGCAGACCAAACAAAAUGUGCAUUUCUCUUUAUCAUGAACAGGUAUGUAUACUGCUACCUAUAUUAUCCUAUUUUGCAUGCAUUUCUCUGCAGAUUUUUCCAAACUGGCGGCUGAUGUUGAAUACAAGCACAUGUAAAGAUAUUAUGUUGUAGAUAUCGCAAUGGUUUAGCGGACGGUGCAGCUAUGGUAACUAAUGUUGACUUCACAGGCACUGCAAGGAAGUCAUGUUGUAGAUUUCACAAUGGUUUAGUGGAUUGUGCAGCUUGGUUGUUUUUCUAGGGCACAACGGGGUAUGUAAUUUGUAUAUGUCAUUUAGUUUAUUUCUUAAGCAAUAUUUGUAAUAGGCGUGCAGUUUUCAACCAAGUUAUGCAGAUUCAUUUUCAUUUAAAUAUUUUAUCUACAAAUUUGAUAUAUUCUGGUUAUCAUAAAAGCCGACAUUUCUCCCAGAGUGACUCAGGAGCUUCGGGCAUGUGCAUACAAUUUCUGGCUUUGGUGAUUGUAAAGCUCGAAGUAUUUGGUGAGAAACUAUCCAACGAAGGACACAAACUAUCGGACGAAGGACACAAACUAUCCGACGAAGGACACAGACUAUCCAACGAAGGACACAAACCAUCUGACGAGAAGCAGUUUCCUAGAUCAUACACGACUGCCUUGCUGGUACCAUAAAGCUGCCGAUAACCAGAGGUGCACUAGUACCAGUCGAUACCGGUCACCAGAGACGCACUGGUACCCUAUCGAUGCCGAUCGUCAGAGGUGUGCUUGGACCCCUUAUGUCAUGAUGUCAACAUAUUCAUCAACUGUUUUCAACCAGCACUGAUCGAAGGUUUCAGUGGAGUUCAAGGCUUGAUGGACAUAUCGUCUGUAUUUGUCCUGUCGUACUCACGGUAAAGAGCUCUUCAACACCUCUUGCACAAAACAAAAAAAAUCCUUGAUGGCCGGGCAGACGAAGACUUCCGUCAGGUUUGAAAAGGCAAUAAAACAGUGUUUUACGUUACUUAAAGACAUAGAAAAGAAUCGAUUGCAGAAAAAUAUCAUCAUGCCGUCCUGUGUUUGUUAUUUCCGACACAUGACAGUGCGAUGCGUUCCAGAUUGAUUUUAAACACACAAUAGAGAAAUAUAUGCGGAAGGAAGAAAGAAGUAUGAUGAAUUCUCGACAAACCUUGCACAGGAUAUAUGCAUGACACCACCACAGCCACCCUGACACAAGCAUAUUUAAACAAAUUAGAAAUAAGCUGACAUGUUUAUAAUCAUAUCCCCAAGUACAAAGUAUAUGGGGUUAUGUUGGAGUCACGUAUGUCUACCAGUCUGUUCGUCCGUCCGUCCAUUGUGUCCGUUUUCAUAAAACUGACAUCAAUUAUUAACCUCAUCAAGACGGUGUGCUAAGCUCACUAGGACCAAAGUUAAGGUUACCCUUUGAGGUCAAAAGUCAUAUAGUUUAACUUUAUGUCCGCUCCAUAUUGUCUAAAUGGCUUGGAAGGUACAUAGCUCGACUAUUCGAAGAAUAAAGAUGAUUAUUAUACUUGCCUUUGCAUCGGUGUCACUGUCACCGAUGUAUUCAAGUUAAAUUUUCAUAGCACGCUUGUGUCACUAUAAAUACUUUACUACUUCCGCUUUUAACUUCAAACUUCACAUAAGUGUUACAUAUGUAGUCCUGGUGAGAGACAAAAAUCUAUAACUUUAGAGUCUGGCUUCCUAAACGUCAAGGUCACUGGGUCAAGCAUUAUAACAGUGUUAGUUAAAGUUUUAUGACAAACUUCUCAUUUUCACUAUGUCUUCUUAACCACUACCCUAUAAUCAUCAAACCUUACAUAAGGAUUGAUCUUAGGAAAGGGCAAAAAUCUUAAGGUUUAAGAUCAGGUAGGUCAAAGGUCAAGGGCACUGGGGUCAGAUUUUGUAAUAAUGUUGGUUAAAGUUUUAUGGCACACUUCUCAAUUUUACAUAUCAUACUGUUUCUUUGCACUGGUAUCCCGUAUGUCCCACAUUUUAAGCCCUGCCCACACUGUCUAUACCCCAAUCCCGACACCUACCCAAAGAUACAUUCCUCACACAAACUUAUAUUUUAUAUUCCCCUCAUCUCCGCUACCCACCUGUCCACCUACUUCCACCAAUCCCAUUUCACCACCUCUCGCUCAAAACAAAGAUUUAUUUACAUUUUCUUUAAUUACAGUUAAUUAGAUUGUAAAUUAAUGUAUAUCUUGUAUCAUAUGUUUAUAUGAUGUUUAAGUAUCCCUUAUUCCUACACUUCUACUCCCAACCCAACUCACUUCCAAAUUUUUUCCUAUACAUGUAUAUUGUUUGUAUCUCUCACGCAUCACAUCUCAUCACCCAUCUCCUAUUCUACAGCAACAUCCCCCUCCCUUUCUCUAUAUUUCUUUUACAUCUUUUAUACUCACUUGUAUUUCAUUUGGAUUUUUUUACCCCUCAUAACCCUUACCCCUCCCUACACACACUUACACCCCUAGCCACUUACAGAAAACCAUUUUCUUACAUUUCUGACACUAGCUUAUAUCUCAUAUUGUUUUUUAGAUUCCUAGAUUCCCUCAUUCCCCAGCACCUAUACCCCUGUCAACGUAGAUCACUAGGUCCAAGGGCAAGGUCACACAUGAAGGUCAAAAGUCAAGGUGACAAAGUCUGGGGGUAUUAAUCACCUUCAGUGGUAGCUUUAACUGCUCAUGUUUAAGCGGCCUAAAUGUAUAACAUUAGCUGAAUUGUAUCAUUUAUUUUACAAGUGUUUGUUAAAUUUUAGGAUAAAUAGUUUCAGUAAAUUUAGAAAAUUAUAUAAUUUAAGAUCGGUGAUACAGUCGAACUAUUUUUAGACGAUUCAGAUAUUUCUAGCUAGGUUUGUUAUUGGUCUUGAAAUUAUGUAUUUUUAUUUUUAUUGCAUUAUUUAAGAAAGUACAUUUUUGAACACAAAAUUCACAUUUGACUUUGAUACAUAAACUAACAGGGACAGCCAGUAUUUGUAAGAAACCACAUAGAAUAAUACUGAUUUGGUUAAUUAUUUCAAAAGCAUCUCAAAUAUAAAUUACUUUUAAACUGGGCAGGGAUAGUUUUCAAAGAUAAAUAGAUAUGCGUAGAUCUUUUUAUGAACACAAAUAAAACAUUUUGGGACCUGAGUAAAACUCUGAUAUUUGUUUAUUUCAGUGAUAGAUCGAAAUACCGAAUCAUUCUAGACUCAACUCGCGCAAAUGUAAACUCUAGUAUUCACCCGUGAAAAUAAUUCAGUUUUACUAAUAAAUUAAAGAUUUGUUUUUUUUUAUUUUGAUGUACAGUUUAUCAGUGUACGUCUCACGUAACGUAAUGCUUGCUCUUAUGGCAAUAAAUAUGUUGGAAAAAGUAAUAUAGUUUUACGAGACUGAUUUCUUAUUUAUUUUAAUAAAGUUAUUUUCUACUGUUUUUUUUUUUUGUUAAAAAAACUAUCCGAUAAUGUGUAGAUCUAAUUCAUAUUCUUUCGCGUUAAAUUGAUGUUGCGUGCAAGUGAAAGUUGCGUUUGGAUUUCUCACUUCUAAAUCUGUGGGUUUAUCAGGCUAUAAUGUGUCGUUAUGUUUCAGUAAUACUCUGAAUGCUUGAAAUAAAAUUUUAUACUCUAGUAACAACAAAAUGUACAGAUAAAAUCGUAAUAGUUUUAUUCAAACACACAUUCUACCGUCUUUUGUCUGGGUCAACCUAAUGUAGCUUUUGAAAGUCAUUUUGGCCUCAUUUCUUGAACACUGAAUUUUACACUGUUUGGCAUAACCCUUAACCGUAUAACUCUUAACCGACACCUUACUCUAACAUUAACGCUAGGGGCUGAAAUGACUUUUAAAAUAACGUCUUUUAUAGGAACAUUGUGUUAAACUUUAAAUGUUUUUAGAAAUGAUGGGUAAAAAGAUGUACUGAUCAAAUGUUUGACAGAAUUGUGGGCACACAUUUUAAGUUCGCGCUUUUGAAGGCUUACUGAAAUAUAACGUUAGAUUAUAACAUGAUAAACUCAUUGUUUCAAACGGAGAGAAAUCCAAACAUGAUUUUCACCAGUACGGAACAACACUUGAACGCGAAAGGAUAUGAAUGGAAAUUUGUUUUAAAAAGACAAAGAUGUAUAGUAGUGCUUACACAACCAUUAAAAUAAAUGCCAAACGAUUAAAAUGUAAACGAAAUGCGGAUCUUGUAGAACUAUCAACAUUUAUAAGCAUAAUGACGUUAUGAAAUACAACACGACGUUACGUAACACUCAAGUCUCUGCACGGUGGGAUAAGAUAAUAAGAUAAGAUACGAUUAGAUAAAUUUAUAUUAACUCGAAAAGAUGUAAAACAGUAGAACAUAAACCUUAAGUGAGCUUAUUAACCGACCAAAGUAAGAAUAAAAAAAUACUGAAUUAAUUUGCACUCAGGAAUACCAGACUUAAAUUUACCCAGUGAAAAAUAUUUCGAUCUUAUACUGAAACAAACAAAUGCACCCUUUCUAUAUAUAUAUAUAUUUUUACAGCAGAAGUAGGUAACAAACUUGAAUAUUUUGAGGAAUAACGGCUAAAAAUAAGGUGAAUAAACUUAAAACAAAAAUCAAUCUAUUUGAUAUUUUUAUAAUCCCAAGCCAAGUGCAUUUUCACAUUUGAAUUUGAAAUUUACUAUUUUAAAAUGACAUUCAAAAUUACAGUAUCUGUAUAACUGUUGUUAGAUAUUUCAUGGUUUAUAAUCCUGACUUAAGAAGAGUACAUUUUCACAUUUGAAAAUUAACAAUAUCCCUU
rnacentral:lncRNA from 1 species